rnacentral:rRNA from 1 species
UACGUAGGGUGCGAGCGUUGUCCGGAAUUAUUGGGCGUAAAGGGCUCGUAGGCGGUUUGUCACGUCGGGAGUGAAAACUCGGGGCUUAACCCCGAGCCUGCUUCCGAUACGGGCAGACUAGAGGUAUGCAGGGGAGAACGGAAUUCCUGGUGUAGCGGUGAAAUGCGCAGAUACUCAGGAGGAACACCGGUGGCGAAGGCGGUUCUCUGGGCCGUAACUGACGCUGAGGAGCGAAAGCGUGGGGAGCGAACAGG